AUGCGCGAGUUGUUCUUCUUGGGGCGAGAGCGGUGGCUGGCUUCUAGUGCCGCCAGGUGUGCUGCGUAGCCUUCGCUCAGGAACUGUGGGGGCAACAAGCGUCAGAUGCCAUUACAUCGCAGCCACUUGGAUUCUCCCAUGCAUCCAGCAGGGGGCCUGGCCCAAGGCAUCAUUCAGUAGAGGUGAAUGAAUAAAAGAAAGGAUGAGCAGGUCCAGCACACGCUGCUUCGCCGUCUACCUGACAACUCACACUCAUAUGUCAAGACUAAGCCCACAAGUUAUUACCUACUAUCAGCUACUCGGGAUUCCCCAGGCGGACCUAAGACCUUCCUCCUCUGUUUGCCAAUAUUGCCCCUUUUCUGCCACACACCAGUAAUUGUCAAUUUCCAUGCCUUUCUUUCUCUAGAUCAGGGAUUGGCAGACUUUUUCUUUGAAAAGCCAAAUAGUAAAUAUUUUAGGCUUUGAGCUCUGCCACAGCAACUCGACUCGGCUCUUCUACUGCAUUGCAAAGGCAGCCACAGACAAUACAUAAACAGAUGAGCUUGGCUGUGUGCCAAGAAAACUUUAUUUAUGGACACCAAAAUUUGAACUUGUGUAGUUUUCAUUUGUCUGCUCCUGCUCUCUAUGUGUGAGUCUCUCUCUCUCUCUCUCUCUCUCUCUCUCUCUCUCUCUCUCUCUCUCUCUCUCUCUCU